GAUCGUUGAGGUCCGUGUUGUAUUCUUGGCUAAAAAAUUGAUUUACAUGUAAGUUAAAGUGUGUAAUUAAAAUUUAAAAAUUUUAAUAUAUGAAAAACUCAGUAGAAAAUUUUAGAAAUAUAAUAACUUUUUAUCUAGGAAAUUUAUUAGAAAUGGACAAUGGAGUGCCAGCAGCCGCGGUUAUACUUCUGUUUCAAGUUAAGAUGAAUAUACAAAAUUUUGAUUUAUAAUUAUUUUGAAUCUUAUAUAGAUUAUUAGGUAGAAUUUUAAUUUGUAGAAAGGACAUAGAAAUAAAUCAUAAAAAUUGCAUAAAGGACCAGGAUUAGAUACCCUGUUACUUGUAGUAAAUAAAUUUUGGAUUAGUAGUAAUAGUGAAAUUUAACGGAUUUGGCGGCAAGAUAGCCAUUUAGAGGAACCUGCCCUAUAAACGAUGAACCACGAAUUUCUUUACUUUCAUUGGUAAUUCAGUUUGUAUACCGCUGUUGUCAGUUAGUUUCUUUAGAAAUCUUUCGUGUUUGAGAAAUUCAAGGACUUCAAGUAAAGGUGCAGCUUAUAUGGAAGAUAGAGGUGGGUUACAUUUAAAAGAUUAAUACGGAGAAAAUUUUUAAUAAAUUUUUUGAAGGUGGAUUUAAAUGUAAAGUUUAAGAAGACUUGAUGUGAGCUCUUUCUUGUGUACACACCGCCCGUCGCUCUCUUUAUUAAACGAGAUAAGUCGUAACAAGGUAAGUGUAAUGGAAAUUGUACUUGAAUGGAA
rnacentral:ncRNA from 1 species